AGUGAACGCUGGCGGUAGGCCUGACACAUGCAAGUCGAACGGCAGCACAGUAAGAGCUUGCUCUUACGGGUGGCGAGUGGCGGACGGGUGAGGAAUACAUCGGAAUCUACUUUUUCGUAGGGGAUAACGUAGGGAAACUUACGCUAAUACCGCAUACGACCUACGGGUGAAAGCAGGGGAUCUUCGGACCUUGCGCGAUUGAAUGAGCCGAUGUCGGAUUAGCUAGUUGGCGGGGUAAAGGCCCACCAAGGCGACGAUCCGUAGCUGGUCUGAGAGGAUGAUCAGCCACACUGGAACUGAGACACGGUCCAGACUCCUACGGGAGGCAGCAGUGGGGAAUAUUGGACAAUGGGCGCAAGCCUGAUCCAGCCAUACCGCGUGGGUGAAGAAGGCCUUCGGGUUGUAAAGCCCUUUUGUUGGGAAAGAAAAGCAGCAGGUUAAUACCCCGCUGUUCUGACGGUACCCAAAGAAUAAGCACCGGCUAACUUCGUG
rnacentral:rRNA from 1 species